UCCGGAAUUAUUGGGCGUAAAGAGCUCGUAGGCGGUCUGUCGCGUCUGCUGUGAAAUCUGGGGGCUCAACCCCCAGCCUGCAGUGGGUACGGGCAGACUAGAGUGCGGUAGGGGAGAUUGGAACUCCUGGUGUAGCGGUGGAAUACGCAGAUAUCAGGAGGAACACCGGUGGCGAAGGCGGGUCUCUGGGCCGUAACUGACGCUGAGGAGCGAAAGCAUGGGGAGCGAACAGG
rnacentral:rRNA from 1 species